CCUCAAAUAUGGCUCACCACAACAUCAUCACAUCACAUCACAACAUCCACAACAUCAGAACCCAUCCACAACAUCAGAACCACCAGUCCUUCAACACAUCAUGGCAGAGGCAGGGAGGUGUGGAUAUGGGACUGCAGGCUUCCUCCAAGUGAAUUAUGAACAGAUCGGAGACCGAUUUCAUGCCCAAUUUGUGAUACCUCCCUGCAUGG